rnacentral:rRNA from 1 species
UUUGGGCGCGUCUCCCUUCUCGGGAGACUCUCUCAACCCCACGAACCCUUGACCUCAAAUCGGGUGAGACUACCCGCUGAACUUAAGCAUAUCAAUAAGCGGAGGAAAAGAAACUAACAAGGAUUCCCNUAGUAACUGCGAGUGAAGCGGGAAAAGCUCAAAUUUGAAAUCUGGCGGUCCCUGGCCGUCCGAGUUGUUAUUGGNAGNAGCG